AGAGCCUCUGAAUGGAAGAGGGAAUGGAGAGAAGUGUAUACAGACACUCAACGAAUCCUCAUUUCAAGAUUUAUCCAGUUCAUGUCUGGUUGCAGGUACCUAGCAUAUCAUCCUGGACAGCCCUGGAAGACCAGUGGUGAAUGAGGUAAGAGCCUGGCUUGAGAAAUUAGCUCUGUUCUCCUCGCUGCCCGUAAACUCAACUGUAGAUACUAUACACACCUGAAUGUUACCGAACAUUUUCUCCCUGUAAUCAAUCCAUUGAUAACGGACUCUUGACAAAUAAGUCAUCCUUACCUUGUUCUAUCCCUGGCAAUGCCUGGAUCGAGCUGCCUUUUCCUUUUUAGCCUCCUACUUUAUGAAAUCGCCAUCCCUCUGAAGAGCUUCACAUUUUCAUUUUAUUCAUUUUAUCCCACAAUCACACUUGCAAACAUCUUCCUGGCCCCCAGGCUAGAUUCCCAUGUUUAAUCUACCUGACCCAAUAAAAAUAUUUGAAUAUUAAAGCCCAAUUUAUGUUAUAAUUGGAACUCACAUGCAAAGCCGUCACUGCUACUGGCUGUGGUGAUGCAAGCCUGUAAUUCCUGCAUUUGGGAGGCUGAGGGGGGAGUUUGAGGCCAGCCUGGGCUACA
rnacentral:lncRNA from 1 species